GACGAACGCUGGCGGCGUGCCUAAUACAUGCAAGUUGAGCGCUGAAGGUUGGUACUUGUACCAACUGGAUGAGCAGCGAACGGGUGAGUAACGCGUGGGGAAUCUGCCUUUGAGCGGGGGACAACAUUUGGAAACGAAUGCUAAUACCGCAUAAAAACUUUAAACACAAGUUUUAAGUUUGAAAGAUGCAAUUGCAUCACUCAAAGAUGAUCCCGCGUUGUAUUAGCUAGUUGGUGAGGUAAAGGCUCACCAAGGCGAUGAUACAUAGCCGACCUGAGAGGGUGAUCGGCCACAUUGGGACUGAGACACGGCCCAAACUCCUACGGGAGGAAGCAGUAGGGAAUCUUCGGCAGUGGACGAAAGUCUGACCGAGCAACGCCGCGUGAGUGAAGAAGGUUGUCGGAUCGUAAAACUCUGUUGGUAGAGAAGAACGUUGGUGAGAGUGGAAAGCUCAUCAAGUGACGGUAACUACCCAGAAAGGGACGGCUAACUACGUG
rnacentral:rRNA from 1 species